GAUGAACGCUGGCGGCGUGCCUAAUACAUGCAAGUCGAGCGAACGGACGAGAAGCUUGCUUCUCUGAUGUUAGCGGCGGACGGGUGAGUAACACGUGGAUAACCUACCUAUAAGACUGGGAUAACUUCGUGAAACCGGAGCUAAUACCGGAUAAUAUUUUGAACCGCAUGGUUCAAAAGUGAAAGACGGUCUUGCUGUCACUUAUAGAUGGAUCCGCGCUGCAUUAGCUAGUUGGUAAGGUAACGGCUUACCAAUGCAACGAUGCAUAGCCGACCUGAGAGGGUGAUCGGCCACACUGGAACUGAGACACCGUCCAGACUCCUACGGGAGGCAGCAGUAGGGAAUCUUCCGCAAUGGGCGAAAGCCUGACGGAGCAACGCCGCGUGAGUGAUGAAGGUCUUCGGAUCGUAAAACUCUGUUAGUAGGGAAGAACAUAUGUGUAAGUAACUGUGCACAUCUUGACGGUACCUAAUCAGAAAGCCACGGCUAACUACGUG
rnacentral:rRNA from 1 species